CUGCACCCUGCCAAGCCAGAGCUGUUUUAAGUGCGCAUGCUCGGCCUUCAUGAUAUAACAACUGAGGAGCUGGAUGCACUUGGCUGCUUCCUUCGCAUAACUCGUACAGGUAACUCUUCGGAGAGCAACUUCAGUCUUUGAGCAGGCGUCCCAGGGGAAGCCACACGCCACCUAAAAGAAUGCCAAAUCAGCGGGCGGUGCCGCCGAUCCGUGGGAAAUCCAGGUCUUCUUUGCCUCAGGAAAAAUGGGUCGGCGUCCUGAGCUUUACCGAUUUCCUAUGCUUAUGCAUCUGCGUCCUCUAUGUUGUGUUCUGCCUGGAAUGUCGCCUCAUUUGGUAUGGGAUUCGGUGUUUCGUGGCAUGGCUUCGUUCACUGCCGCACCAUGACUCGCCACAGCGUCGUCUAUGAUUCCUCACCGGAUCUCCUGCGAAACGCAUCUCGAACCGAAACGACCGAAGACAUCCAGAGGUUCUAGCCUACCUGCAGCCACAAGAAACAAGGACGAAAUUCAGCCAAUUUUAGCAUGCACUGAUCACAACGCUUUUAACCUCGCACUGCAUUUGAAAGAGGUCGCACAUUUCAGCAUUCUGUAGGCCCAAUAGGCAAAUAAACACAACUUCAAGGGAA